AUCGCUUCUCGGCCUUUUGGCUAAGAUCAAGUGUAGUCUGAAAAAAGUACAGUAAAUACACAAUUUCCCUUGUGUCUCCAGAACUUAGACACUCUGUGUGUACUUAUUUUAACUUUCCUUCAGAUUAACAAUAGGAUCAUUGCUUUAAAUUUAAAAAUAUUU
rnacentral:snRNA from 1 species